GAUAAGGUGGAUUUGAGACGUUUAGUUAGAAAAUUAAGUCAUGGGAGACCAUUUGCUUAAAAUUUAAACUAUGAAAAGGCCAGCUUAAAUCUUUUCUUCUCCCUCAGUCUCAAAGAAUCAAGUUCAAUAGUUAUGGAUGCCAUUGCUAUAACUGUCACCUUGCUGCUACUCGUGUCUACAGGCACAAGAGUUGAAAUGAAGCAGAUACAACCAGGUGCCUCACUUGUCCCAAAUACUACUCUUGCUUGGUAGCCUUCCCCUUCUGGUCAGUUUGCAUUUGGUUGCUAUCCGCAAGAGCAAGGCGAUGCCUUUGUCAUUGCAAUUUGGUUGGUUAGCGGAGAGAACAAGAUAGUUGUGUGGACUGCAAGGCGGGAUGAUCCUCCUGUCACCUCAAAUGCAAAGCUACAACUAACCAAGGACGGUAAAUUCCUACUAAUAGAUGAGCACGGAGAAGAGAAGUCUAUUGCAGAUAUUAUUGCAAAAGCUUCCUCUGCCUCCAUGCUUGAUUCUGGAAACUUUGUACUAUACAACAAUAAUUCCAGCAUCAUAUGGCAGAGUUUCGAUUACCCAACUGAUACUUUGUUAGGGGGUCAAUCUCUUCCUAAUGGACAUCAACUGGUCUCUGCUUCAUCUAAUAACAGCCACUCAACUGGACGGUAUCGUUUCAAGAUGCAGGAUGAUGGAAAUCUAGUUAUGUAUCCAGUAAGCACAACUGACACAGCACUGGAUGCUUACUGGGCCUCUAGUACUACCAAUUCUGGUUUCAAAACUAAUCUUUAUCUCAACCAAACAGGUUUGCUUCAGAUUUUAAAUGACAGUGAUGGGAGCAUUAUGAAGACUCUUUACCACGAUUCAUCUUUUCCUAAUGAUGGGAACCGGAUCAUUUAUCGUUCAACCCUUGAUUUUGAUGGGUUUUUUCGGCUGUAUAAGCAUUUUGACAAUGGCAGUUUCCAAAAGGCGCACCAUUGGCCGGAUGAGAAUGCAUGUGCAGUAAAAGGUUUUUGUGGCUUCAACAGCUACUGCACCUUCAAUGACACCCAACCGUUAUGCACUUGUCUUCCGGAUUUCGAGUUAAUAUAUCCAACCGACUCUACUCGGGGCUGUAAAAGGAGCUUUCAAAAUGAAGAUUGUAAUGGGCAGAAAGAUAGCGCAACCUUUUACGACAUGAAGCCGAUGGAGGAUACUUUUGUAGGGACGGAUAAUCCUUAUUUUAAAGCUAAGAUGCCAAAAGAAGAUUGCUCCUCUGCUUGUUUGGCUGAUUGCAGUUGUGAGGCUGUGUUUUACGACGAUACGGAAGAAAGCUGCAUGAAACAGAGGCUUCCUUUGAGAUAUCUUCGUAGGCCAGGGCAAGAUGAAUUUGGUGUUAAUCAGGCCUUGCUAUUCUUGAAGGUAGGAAACAGGAGCCUCAACAACGGGACGGGGAAUGAUAAUCCUGUGCCUGAACAACCAUCUCCAACACCAAUCAAGACUACAAGGAACAAAGCAACGGUCCAGAUUGUUGUCAUUACAUCAGUGUUUUCUCUGCUUUUAUGUUCAACCAUUGUCAUCUCCAGCCACUACAUGUACAAGAUUAGGAUAUUGAGCUAUGAAAGGCUGAUGGAAAUGGGUAACUGGGGCCUCAGUGAAGAGUUGACUUUAAAAAGGUUUUCAUACAGUGAGCUGAAAAGAGCAACAAAUAAUUUCAAACAAAAAUUGGGAAGAGGAUCUUUUGGAGCAGUUUACAAAGGGGGUUUGAACAAAGGUAGGAGGUUAAUUGCAGUGAAGAGACUAGAGAAGUUGGUGGAAGAAGGAGAAAGGGAGUUCCAAGCAGAAAUGAGAGCCAUUGGAAAAACCCACCACAGGAACCUAGUUCGCUUGUUGGGUUUCUGUGCCGAGGGUUCUAAAAGGCUUCUGGUUUAUGAGUACAUGCCUAAUGGUUCCCUUGAAAACCUUAUCUUUGGAGCUCAGAGUCAGAGACGUCCAGGGUGGGAUGAGAGAGUAAGAAUAGCACUGGAGAUAGCAAAAGGGAUUCUGUAUCUCCAUGAAGAGUGUGAGGCACCAAUCAUUCAUUGUGACAUAAAGCCUCAAAACAUUUUGAUGGAUGAGUUCUGGACUGCAAAGAUAUCUGAUUUCGGGCUAGCAAAACUUCUGAUGCCAGAUCAAACCAGAACCAUCACAGGGGCUAGAGGGACAAGAGGGUAUGUGGCUCCUGAAUGGGACAAGCUGAACAUCCCAAUAUCUGUCAAGGUUGAUGUUUAUAGCUACGGAAUAGUGCUGUUAGAAAUUUUAUGUUGCAGGAGAAAUAUCGAAGUUCAUGUCUCCGAACCCGAAGCGGCUCUUCUCUCCAACUGGGCUUAUAAAUGUUUUGUUUCUGGACAACUUAAUAAGCUUUUUCUUUGGGAAUCCGUGGAUAAUAAAACUUCCGUGGAAAAUAUAGUUAAGGUGGCACUUUGGUGCAUCCAAGAUGAACCUUUUCUUCGCCCAACAAUGAAGAGUGUGGUGUUGAUGUUAGAAGGAAUCACUGAUAUAGCAAUUCCUCCAUGUCCCAAUUCAAGUUAUGUGUGAAUUUUCUCUGUGAAGUUAACGUUGCAGAGUUUUCAUCAGUUUGUUUGUUUCUUUGUCUUCUGAUACGUACUAUUGUAAUCCUUUACAUUAUUAAACUUUUUUUUAGUGCUGUCCAGGUAUAAUAAGGUAGCAAGCCACAAGCUGAAGUAGUUGUUUCCCGUGUUAAAAAGUGUGGUAUUUGGACUAUGAUUAAGUGUGGUUUCAGGUGUAUAAAAAAAGUGUGGUUUCAGGUAUA